AAUGGGUCAGCGACUUAUAUUCUGUAGCAAGGUUAACCGAAUAGGGGAGCCGAAGGGAAACCGAGUCUUAACUGGGCGUUAAGUUGCAGGGUAUAGACCCGAAACCCGGUGAUCUAGCCAUGGGCAGGUUGAAGGUUGGGUAACACUAACUGGAGGACCGAACCGACUAAUGUUGAAAAAUUAGCGGAUGACUUGUGGCUGGGGGUGAAAGGCCAAUCAAACCGGGAGAUAGCUGGUUCUCCCCGAAAGCUAUUUAGGUAGCGCCUCGUGAAUUCAUCUCCGGGGGUAGAGCACUGUUUCGGCAAGGGGGUCAUCCCGACUUACCAACCCGAUGCAAACUGCGAAUACCGGAGAAUGUUAUCACGGGAGACACACGGCGGGUGCUAACGUCCGUCGUGAAGAGGGAAACAACCCAGACCGCCAGCUAAGGUCCCAAAGUCAUGGUUAAGUGGGAAACGAUGUGGGAAGGCCCAGACAGCCAGGAUGUUGGCUUAGAAGCAGCCAUCAUUUAAAGAAAGCGUAAUAGCUCACUGGUCGAGUCGGCCUGCGCGGAAGAUGUAACGGGGCUAAACCAUGCACCGAAGCUGCGGCAGCGACGCUUAUGCGUUGUUGGGUAGGGGAGCGUUCUGUAAGCCUGUGAAGGUGUGCUGUGAGGCAUGCUGGAGGUAUCAGAAGUGCGAAUGCUGACAUAAGUAACGAUAAAGCGGGUGAAAAGCCCGCUCGCCGGAAGACCAAGGGUUCCUGUCCAACGUUAAUCGGGGCAGGGUGAGUCGACCCCUAAGGCGAGGCCGAAAGGCGUAGUCGAUGGGAAACAGGUUAAUAUUCCUGUACUUGGUGUUACUGCGAAGGGGGGACGGAGAAGGCUAUGUUGGCCGGGCGACGGUUGUCCCGGUUUAAGCGUGUAGGCUGGUUUUCCAGGCAAAUCCGGAAAAUCAAGGCUGAGGCGUGAUGACGAGGCACUACGGUGCUGAAGCAACAAAUGCCCUGCUUCCAGGAAAAGCCUCUAAGCAUCAGGUAACAUCAAAUCGUACCCCAAACCGACACAGGUGGUCAGGUAGAGA
rnacentral:rRNA from 1 species